rnacentral:rRNA from 1 species
GACGGAGGGUGCAAGCGUUGUUCGGAAUUACUGGGCGUAAAGCGCGGGCAGGUGGCUCUUUAAGUCCUUUGUGAAAUUCCGGGGCUCAACUCCGGAUGUGCAUAGGAUACUGGAGAGCUAGAGACUGGUAGAGGCGAGCGGAAUUCCUGGUGUAGCGGUGGAAUGCGUAGAUAUCAGGAGGAACACCGGUGGCGAAGGCGGGUCUCUGGGCAGUAACUGACGCUGAGGAGCGAAAGCGUGGGGAGCGAACAGG